rnacentral:lncRNA from 1 species
GAGUUGAAACCAUGGCUACAGGUCGGGCCGGGCCAUCAAAAUGGAGAAAUAAUCAUUUAUGCAUUGUAAUUGUAAGUUAGAUAUAUUUAAUUGUUGUAUGUUGAGUUUGUGCAUGAUUGUUGGUGGAACAAACAUUCGGUUGUUGUGAAGAGUAGAAGUAAUAAAGAAAGAAGCAUGUAAAAGAUAUCAUGGAAUAGUUGGAUGUAGAUACGGCUGUUCAAAUGACUGAGGCUAUAUCUGGUUUAUGGGUAUUUGGCAAUCUGCUCAUGUGCCGUUGA